rnacentral:misc_RNA from 1 species
CAGGAAGAUCCAUAAGACGAGCAUAGAAUGGCUGAAUAACUUGCUGAGUGAUACAUCCCCAAUCUGCUUUAGAAACCUUCAUUGACAUGAAAUCAUUUCCAUCUUUCUCUUGUUCAAUCAGCAAAUUUCUAGUCGACCUGGGCCAAAAUGAAUAGAUCUGAUCACCAUAUGCAUUCAGAGUCAAACUGACAGCUCGGGCCACACUAGGCUCCAGAAGAGAAGUUGAUGGUUCCCUCCUCAACUUUUGCAUUUCCAAUACCAGCUUCACAUAAGAAUCACGAACACAACACAUAAGUUCUCGAUUCCAAGCUUCAAUCAAUUGAUUUCCAGCAUCAAACUGUGGCCCUGCCAAAGACUCCAUUUCUUGGUCCUUGAAAAGAAAACGUCCCUGAUUAUGACACACUAGGAAAUAUCCGAGUAUAGUGACUGGUAUGUUUAUAGUACUGGACAGCGGAAGUGGG